UAAAUAUCAUGGGCGCAGCCUGAUGCAGCCAUGCCGCGUGUAUGAAGAAGGCCUUCGGGUUGUAAAGUACUUUCAGCGGGGAGGAAGGGAGUAAAGUUAAUACCUUUGCUCAUUGACGUUACCCGCAGAAGAAGCACCGGCUAACUCCGUGCCAGCAGCCGCGGUAAUAGCU
rnacentral:rRNA from 1 species